GACCAAGGAGUCUAGCAUGUGCGCGAGUCAUUGGGACAUUGAUAAACCUAAAGGCGCAAUGAAAGUGAAGGUCCGCCUCGCGCGGACCGAGGGAGGAUGGGCCCGUCCACGGGCGGGCCCCGCACUCCCGGGGCGUCUCGUUCUCAUCGCGAGAAGAGGCGCACCCAGAGCGUACACGCUGGGACCCGAAAGAUGGUGAACUAUGCCUGGUCAGGACGAAGUCAGGGGAAACCCUGAUGGAGGUCCGUAGCGAUUCUGACGUGCAAAUCGAUCGUCGGAACUGGGUAUAGGGGCGAAAGACUAAUCGAAC
rnacentral:rRNA from 1 species